rnacentral:snoRNA from 1 species
UCUGAAGAUGAACCAAAUAAAAGUAUUCUCUGCACAUUGUUAGAAAUGCCUCAUAGAGUAACAUUAUGGGUUUGCUUUAUUCACAGGACUAUUUGUCAGACCUGUGAGAAGGAACCACAAGACAGAG